GUUGGAUUAAAUGGUCUUUAAGGACCAGGUCUAGCUGAAUUUUAAACCAGCAGACUUCCUCUAGAGCGACAGAAGUUUGACCUUGUACUUCCUCAAAGCUCAGCCCAAGGUAAGACCUGAGGUUGCCAAGAACCUGCUGAGUGAGGUGCAGCCAAGCUGGGCACCUUCCACGGAGGAAAAGAAGCCAUAAAGAGCUCUGCAAAGAGAGAAUUGCUCACCAAGGCACACAAACCACAUCAAAUUGAAGCAGAACCUGGCCAAGCAGCUCAGACACAGCCCCCAUCUCACAAAUGCUCUCUGCAGCAGCAAAACUAUGGAUUACAGUGUUUCCUUUCCCAAAUAUUGUACAUUUUACCUGGUACACCACCCAACUUACACGCUGGGCAGAAACAGCUGGGUAAGAGAGGACAGGAGAGGAAGGGAAAAUAUCUUGCAUAUGGAUGGGCACCUAUAAAAUGCAUUAAAAAUCAAGUUUGGGAGUUAAAAUCCCUCAGCAAUGGUCAGCCAUAAUCCAGUUUCUCUCUAAAGCUUUCCUCCUUUUUGGAUCUCCCUCCAGAUUCCCCAAGCAAUAAUUUACCUCCUUCCCCAGCGAGCUCAUCCCUUGGCUCCACAGGUACCAACUGUGCCCUCUCUCACCCCAAGUGCUGUUAUAUUUUGAUGAAGCUCAGAGCAACUGGUGGAGUUUGUAUGACAAAUAUCACAUUUUGUGUCAGAACUGGAGGAUUUACGCAUCAGGAGCUUGUCUGGCUUCUCCCCACCUGCAGCCGUUUACCUGCUGCCAGGUAUCACUUCCCAUGAAAUGCACCCACCUUAGGCCACCACAGCCCUUGGAAAUACACAAAAUAAUUACUUUUUCCAGCCUGCCUUAUCUCCCUGUGGACAUCCACAUACAAAAAUCCCCAACCUAAAUAUCUGCUUGCCCUCAGAAUGACUCUGUGUGAAAAGGGGAACAGGUCCCUGACCGAGCACCGGAGGUUCUGCACCACAAGGAGAUUGUCCAAUGCAUCACAAAUCCAUCCAACCACCAGCUGGAGCUGUGAGGGGUCCACGUGUCCCUUGCCAAAUUCCUGUGUAAUUUUCCAUUCUUUCUUCUUAAUCAGUGCAUAAUCCAAGGAAGAUUUGUAUAGCAGUAUUAAAGGAAAAGUCGCUGGUGCAGGGAGAGGAAAACAUCGGUGACGGUGCCAGCCUGAGAGGGGAUUUCCAUGCUUUGCUCUUGGAAAGGCCUGAUAAGAUGGAUAUAUUUGUUUUAGCUUUCAGCAAGGAACCUCAAGGAUUUGGAUUACAAAAUGCCUAAAAAACGUCACGAGAACUGAGUUCUGGAAAAGGAGAUAGGAGAAGUUAAUGGUGUUAGCAAGCACUGACCUGGCUAAUCCCAUUGCUGACCUGUGUCUGGCUGGGCAAACGUGUUCCUGAAACCUGGAUGUGGUUUAUAGCACGUGGUCUUGGGGCAAGACAGUGCAAUUCCAAUUGUUCCAAUUGGGUGCAGUUCCAGGAUUUUGUGGAUUUUGGUUUGUAUCAGCUGGGACCAGAUGUUCUCCUCUGCCCCCUCCACCUCCAGUGUCCUCUCUGUGAAAAAAUGUCACCAAAGCAGCUGCACUUGUGUUUUACCUCAAACCCAAAGCACAUCUGAUUGAAUUACCUCUUCUUUUCUGUUGGAUCUUAAAGACAAUUUAGUUCCACACUGCUGCCAUGGGCAGAGACACUUUCCACUAAACCAGGUUGCUCCAAACCCCAUCCAACCUUGAGCAGUUCCAGGGAUGGGGCAGCAGAUCUGCCCAAAAUGAAGGAUCUUGUUUUACUGAAAACAUGGAUCAACUCAACCCUCCCACUGGACCAACUACAAUCGAAGCAGGGAUGUGUUUGGAGACACCAACAUGAAAAAGAUUUGCUCCUAUAGGUGCAGGCCCACCAGAGCCAGCAGUAGCUGUGCUUAGCUGCAAUUAACUAAAUUAGCACGGCUUGAUCUCAGUGGAGACAAGUGGUUGAGGAAGCCCUUAAACCUAGCAAGCAAACACCACUAAAAGCCUACACUGACUGCAGCUGCAACCCUCCUGAAAGCUGAACCUGUGGUUGCUACAACCUGGCAACGUAUUUUUGAGGCAACCACCCCUUUGGUGCAGUUUCCUAUCUGUUUAGGCAACAGGUACAUCAGUUGCUUUUUUCAGGACUGAAUUUCAAUAAAAAUCUCAUGUCUCAGAAGGAUGUGAGAGCAGUUGAUGUCUGUGCACUGAUAGUUAUGCCUAAUUAACAUAAAAAUGAGGUUUUCCUAAUCACCUGCAAGAGGAAACCUGCUUACAGAACAAGCUACUGGGGAAAAAAAAA